CUUGUCUCACAGCUUUCUUUGUCUCUAGUCAUGAUGCCAGAGAGCGAUAGACCUCAACACACUUGCAUACCUCGAAUCAUAAGGUGUGUCUCUGUCAUUUUCUUCAUCAUGUUUAUUGUUCAGGCGAUAGUUGGAUGCGUGUACAUUUAUGACUGUCCAAGGGCGCCCUCCAUUCCUCUCUUUAUGGUUAUUUGUGGAUUCAUAC